rnacentral:lncRNA from 1 species
UUGAGAUGAAUACUACUUGGAGCUCAAGUUAUUGAUUCUUGAAUUUCUAUCUACAUUAAGGUAAGGAGAUGUCAAUUUUUUUUUGGGCAAACCCUAGCUUUUAAAUUUGAUGAUUGAGUAUGGAUUAUUUGUAGGAAUGAUUACAUUAAUGGAAUUAUUCACUUGGGAGUUGAUUUUAUGGAACAAAAUGUAUAUUAAAUGGGUGGAAUUAUGGUUACUAGUUUCACUUGAUUGGAGAGUAAAAUUAGUUUUAAACUUGGGAAGAAGGUUUUGUUGAUGAAUUAGUUAUUAGAAAAGGGAUUAGAAAGUGAGAUUAGUUCCAAUUGAUCAAAAGAAUGUUUGGGAAAUUCAUUCGAGCAUCGACCAAUUUUAGUUAAAUAUUAUAGAAGUAGAUCUUAAAGUUUCUUAAUUUAAUAGUGGUUGAUUAGUCAUCUUGUUAUGUAUUCUAGGUGGUGAUGAGGAGAUUGAAAGAAUCUAUCGACCAUCUUAGGUUCAGCUUGUAUUAUGUGAGUGGAUAAGCUUAUUUUUCAGAAAUUAGUAUUUAUUUAAUUUAUAUUAACUCAUAAAAUUUAUUAAUUCAUACAGUCGAUUUGACAACACGAUUUUCAGAAUAAAGUUGAUUUAUAACCAGUUGUUUUUAAAAGUUAAAUUCAAUUUAGUAAAUCAUUUUAUUAGUAUGUUGUAUAAGUAUUAAAUGUUUCACCAUAUUUAAAGUUAUUUCUAAAAAUCACCAGAAAGUACCCAAGUGAUUUUACCCUCGUCUGUAUUGGUGUGAAUGUGUUUCCACAGUGUAUGACUUCAUAUGGUUAUUUUACCUACUCUGCGUUGGUGUGAAUGUGUUUCCACAGUCUAUGAUCAGUAUAGUGAUUUUACCCCACUUUGCAUUAUUGUGAAUGUGUUUCCAUAGUGUAUGACCAUUUUAUAGUUCUGUGCGCAUACCACCAGAAUUUCAGAAUUACAGAAUUUCAGAAUUGAAUAACCUUGCUAUGUAUAUCGAGAUUAAUCGAUUCACGAGUAUGAUUAUUCCGGGUACAUUUUUGGUGUGAUGUUUCAGUAUUACAUAGCUUAUCAGAUUUUAGAAAUACAGUAUAUAGAAUAAAAAUGUUUAUGAUUAUAGUAUAUUUUAGUUUUGAUAGUAUUAUCAGAUUCUAAGCUACAAAAUUCAGUUUAAAGAAUAAAUAUCUUAGUUUAUAUGUUUAUGAAAAGAAAUUUUAUGCUAUAUGUCGAUUUUCAGAAAGAUUUUAUGAAUGGAAAAGUAUACUUUACAAGUAUCCAUUCAUUGAGUUAUAGGCUCACAUUUUUAUCACUAUUUUUUUAUCAGAUAGUAGCUGAGUUGAGCACUACUGGGCCAGUUGAUCUAUCGAGUUGAGCCAUAGAUUGUCAAGCAUUGUAUGAAUCAUCUUUUCAGUUUAAUAGUUCAUAUUUUGGGAUAGACACCUCUUUUGGUCAGAAAUAAGUUCCAUGUGUUGGGCUUGCUAUGUUUUGUAUAUAUAUUAUGCAUUUUAGGUACUGUGGUUUAGAAAUUAUUGCAAAAGUCGAAUUGCCAGUCUUAUAUUUGAAUAGUUGAUAUUUUGAGGAGUCGGUGUACCCUGUUUUAAACUAUAUGUACAUGUUGGGGAUAUUUGAUUUUAUUUUCAAGUGGUUUUAGUCCAUUUUUCAGAGGGAACUCUGUUGAAAUUUUUAUAAAAUUAUAAUAGUCAAAGCAUGUCAAGUUUGCCUUGGUGGUGG